CUCGCACACAGCCGAGCCCGCGUGCGUCCGAGGUAGCGGACCCCCGGGGGUUGCUGCCGGGAAGCGGCGAGUAAACCUGGGGAGGAAUGGGAUGCCGCGGCGGGGCGAGGCGGAGAUCAUGAAUCCUAGCUAGUGUCAAGUUGAAAAUGAAACAAAGAAAAACCCAAUCAAGUGGGAUUCAUCCUGUGACUACAACAUUGACCAACAUGGAAUAUCACCCAAGGGUGUUAUCAAUAUCUUUUGCCCAAAAUUUGUUUAGAAGUUGAUAAAUGUUGCCACACCCAACUGAGAGAAUAAAGAGAUUUAUCCUUCACUCUUGAAGAACAACAGACCGAAAGAAAUAAAGCUAUUUGCUGAGGCAGCUCUGGAACUGACUUUUGAGAAAGCUAGAGAGAAGUCGCCAUAGUUUUCAGAAUGUACCUGAAAGGAACAUGAAGCUGGACAGACAUCACAAGUUCAUAUACAGAAGCUCCCUCCUGGCUGGACUCAUCUGCAGAACUAAGUACCUGUUUGUUGACUAUGUUUCUUAUAAUCUAAACCCUCCUUGCCAUGUACUCACCUGGACCACAAAGGUGCCUAAAACAAUAGUGCAGAAGAUGGCAUUAUUAAAGAUUCCUUCAAACA